CUGUGGCCCGGAGACCGUCCUCUGCGGAGGCCGGGGGAGGGGCCGCGGCAGCACAGCCACUCACAGCUUCCGUCACUGACGUCACGUCUGUCCGAGCGAGUGCUUCCGGGCGGAGGUUACCAUGGCGGCGGCCUUGGCUCGGCUUGGGCUCCGGGCUGUCAAGGAAGUUCGGGUUCAGUUCUGUCCCUUCGAGAAGAACGUGGAGUCGACGAGGACCUUCCUCCAGGCGGUGAGCAGCGAGAAGGUCCGCGCCACCAACUUGAACUGCUCAGUGAUUGCGGACGUGAGGCACGACGGCUCCGAACCCUGCGUGGACGUGCUUUUCGGAGACGGGCAUCGCCUGAUUUUGCGCGGCACCCACCUCACUGCCCAAGAAAUGCUCACUACCUUCGCCUCCCACAUCCAGGCCAGGGGUGUGGUGGGGAGCGGGGACAAGCCUGGCGCUGGUGCGGGUCGCUGACAGCGCGUAAGAGACCAACAGAUUUUAACCUGGGACUGACCAGGACACUUAUCCAAGAAAAGCUGAACUUAACCAUUUAAAUCACUAUCUGGAGGGUCAUAGUGAGCCCCCCCCCCCCCCCACCACCACCAGAAAAAAAAGAGCCCCGUGACUACAAAUCUAACCAGUGCUUCUGGGAGGAGACAGGAUCCAGGAGGGGUCUGGACGAACUUGAAUUUAGUUCAUUUUCUAAUCAUCACUCACUUUUUAACUGUUUUGAAUUUGGCUCCCCCCCGCCACUCCCUCAUGAUACUUCUUACUCUUAUUAGCUAAAUCCAGUGCUGUUUGUUGGUUUUUUUUUCAGCCUUCAUCUUUCCAUCUCAGUAGCAUUUGCCACUUUUAAUUCACUCCCUGUGGAACUUCUCUUUUUAAUUUUUCUUCUCUUAACCAUAAAGGCAAACUUUUUUGUCUUCUCUAUUUAGGGGGCAUCUCAUCUUCUGUCCUAACUUGAACUACCCUCUUGGGUUAAACCCAGCAUUUCUCUUUUGAUCUCAUCUCAACUUCUGUGCUACAGUCAGGUUACCUACUACCAAUUUUCUCUAAAUCCUACAAAUACUCUUUGUCCAAAAUAGAAUUGAUAAUCUUACAUACACGUAUACUUGCCUCUCCCCCUGACUUCCCCAUUCCUUUUAAAGGCACUUCAUCUGCUCAGCCACCUGGCCUGGAAAUCACAGCAUUAUCUCUGAUUCUGCUGUCUCCUUUUCCCUGCAUAUCCAGCCAGAAAAGAUGGUUGCUAGCCAAUCAAGGAUAUCAAGACACUGCCUGCUGGGUAACUUCCCAAAUACAUUUUUCAUAACUCCUACAGCAUCACUACACUGCUUCUCUGCUUAAAGGGGUGCUAUCUUCAAAGGGCUGUUUUUUUCCCCUAUCCCUUUAUAAGAAAGAAAACUACCAGGAGGCAGUAUAGUGUAGUAAAAAUCCAAAGUGCCUGGGAAGCUUUGCCCUUAAGUAACUGUGUAACUUUGAACAAAUUACUUGUCUCUCAGUGCCUCUUUCCUCAUUUGUAAAAUGGGGAUAAUAGUACCUACCUUGUAAGACUGUUGAGAGGAUUAAAUGAAUUGACAUCUGUUAAGCACAUAGAGCAUUACUGGGAAUGAAAUAUGUGUUAUGUGAAAGGCCUUAUUGUCCUGCUUUGUGUACACCAUGAGAAGACAGGGUUCUUUGGAAGACACAUUAAUGCUGGGGAAAAUAGAAGGCAGCAGGAAAAGAGGAAGACCAAAUGUGAGGUGAAUUGACUCCAUAAAAGCAGCCAUAGGCAUGAGUUUACAGGAGUUGAGCAGGGCUGUUGAGGACAGGACAAUGGAGACAAAACUCAUUCAUGGCUUGCCAGGAGUCUGAGCCAUCUCAGUGGCAUGUAAUUAAUACACAAGAAGCUUUAUGCUACAGUAGAAGUUUUACCCUAGAUUUGAAUUUCCCAGCUCUGUGGUUAAUUGGUUAUUAUCUUUGGCCAGACGUAAGCACUCCUCAUAUUUAUUUAUUUAGUUAGUUAAUCCUCAGCCAAGUAUAUUUUUUCCAUUGAUUUUUAGAGAGUGGAAUGGAGGGAAGGAUGGAGUGGGGGAGAGCGAUAUGUAUUGGUUGCGUCUGGCAUGCUCCCCAACCCAGGUAUGAGCCCUUGACUAGGAAUCGAACCCACAACCCUUCAGUGCAUAGGCCAACAUUCUAACCACUGAGCCACACAAGCCAUGCAAGCACUCCUCAUUUUUUAAGUGGGGAUGAUUCAUACAUUGCUGUAAACAUGUGAACUUGAGGUUGGGGCUGAUUGGGGCUGUUUUUAUCUGUCCUCAGCACCUUGCAUAGUGCCUGAUGUGCAAUAAACAUUUGU